rnacentral:rRNA from 1 species
GCUUGCACGGUCUGAUUAGUGGCGAACGGGUGAGUAACACGUGAGUAACCUGCCCCUCACUUCGGGAUAACCUCGGGAAAUCGUGGCUAAUACCGGAUACGAGUCUCCACCGCAUGGUGGUGAUUGGAAAGUUUUUCGGUGGGGGAUGGACUCGCGGCCUAUCAGUUUGUUGGUGAGGUAACGGCUCACCAAGGCGAUGACGGGUAGCCGGCCUGAGAGGGCGACCGGCCACACUGGGACUGAGACACGGCCCAGACUCCUACGGGAGGCAGCAGUGGGGAAUAUUGCACAAUGGGCGAAAGCCUGAUGCAGCGACGCCGCGUGAGGGAUGACGGCCUUCGGGUUGUAAACCUCUUUCAGUAGGGAAGAAGCGAAAGUGACGGUACCUGCAGAAGAAGCGCCGGCUAACUACGUGCCAGCAGCCGCGGUAAUACGUAGGGCGCAAGCGUUGUCCGGAAUUAUUGGGCGUAAAGAGCUUGUAGGUGGCUUGUCGCGUCUGCCGUGAAAACCCGAGGCUCAACCUCGGGCGUGCGGUGGGUACGGGCAGGCUAGAGUGUGGUAGGGGAGACUGGAACUCCUGGUGUAGCGGUGAAAUGCGCAGAUAUCAGGAAGAACACCGAUGGCGAAGGCAGGUCUCUGGGCCAUUACUGACACUGAGAAGCGAAAGCAUGGGUAGCGAACAGGAUUAGAUACCCUGGUAGUCCAUGCCGUAAACGUUGGGCACUAGGUGUGGGGGACAUUCCACGUUUUCCGCGCCGUAGCUAACGCAUUAAGU